rnacentral:lncRNA from 1 species
AAAAAUAUAAGAAAUGAUGUUAUAGAUUAUUGUUGUUUGAGACAUCUUCUUGUUGUUGGACCUUAAGUUGUUUCUAUAAAUCCAAAUGCUUUUAAAAAUAUCCAAGAUUGCAGUACCUAUAACCAAGGAAUAUUCAGAAGCCCGUUCUUUUUUACAAAUGUUCAUAAUUGAGGAGAAUGAGGUAAAGUCAAUUGUGUGUUGGAUGAUGUAUUCAAACCAAUUCCCUAUAUAUUUGGAGAAAGUAUA